GGGGUGUUAGCUCAGCUGGGAGAGCACCUGUUUUGCACGCAGGGGGUCAGGAGUUCGAUCCUCCUACGCUCCACCA
rnacentral:tRNA from 6 species